UACGUAGGGGGCUAGCGUUGUCCGGAAUCAUUGGGCGUAAAGCGCGUGUAGGCGGUCCGGUCAGUCCGCUGUGAAAGUCGGGGGCUCAACCCUCGAAUGCCGGUGGAUACUGUCGGGCUAGAGUGCGGAAGAGGCGAGUGGAAUUCCUGGUGUAGCGGUGAAAUGCGCAGAUAUCAGGAGGAACACCAAUUGCGAAGGCAGCUCGCUGGGACGUAACUGACGCUGAGACGCGAAAGCGUGGGGAGCAAACAGG
rnacentral:rRNA from 1 species